rnacentral:rRNA from 1 species
CCUACGGGUGGCAGCAGUGAGGAAUAUUGGUCAAUGGACGAGAGUCUGAACCAGCCAAGUAGCGUGAAGGAUGACUGCCCUAUGGGUUGUAAACUUCUUUUAUAUGGGAAUAAAAUGUUCCACGUGUGGGAUUUUGUAUGUACCAUAUGACUAAGGAUCGGCUAACUCCGUGCCAGCAGCCGCGGUAAUACGGAGGAUCCGAGCGUUAUCCGGAUUUAUUGGGUUUAAAGGGAGCGUAGGUGGAUUGUUAAGUCAGUUGUGAAAGUUUGCGGCUCAACCGUAAAAUUGCAGUUGAAACUGGCAGUCUUGAGUACAGUAGAGGUGGGCGGAAUUCGUGGUGUAGCGGUGAAAUGCUUAGAUAUCACGAAGAACUCCGAUUGCGAAGGCAGUUCACUGGACUGUAACUGACACUGAGGCUCGAAAGUGUGGGUAUCAAACAGGAUUAGAUACCCGAGUAGUC